GACGAACGCUAGCGGCGUGCUUAACACAUGCAAGUCGAGCGGAAAGGCCACUUCGGUGGUACUCGAGCGGCGAACGGGUGAGUAACACGUGAGUAAUCUGCCCCUGGCUUUGGGAUAGCCACCGGAAACGGUGAUUAAUACCGGAUACGACCACUUCUCGCAUGGGAUGGUGGUGGAAAGUUUUUUCGGCCAGGGAUGUGCUCGCGGCCUAUCAGCUUGAUGGUGAGGUAAUGGCUCACCAUGGCUUCGACGGGUAGCCGGCCUGAGAGGGUGCACGGUCACAGUGGGACUGAGCCACGGCCCAGACUCCUACGGGAGGCAGCAGUGGGGAAGAGUGGACAAUGGGCGGAAGCCUGAUCCAGCAACGCCGCGUGGGGGAUGACGGCCUUCGGGUUGUAAACCUCUUUCAGCAGGGACGAAGCGCAAGUGACGGUACCUGCAGAAGAAGCACCGGCCAACUACGUGCCAGCCGCCGCGGUAA
rnacentral:rRNA from 1 species